GACGAACGCUGGCGGCGUGCUUAAUACAUGCAAGUCGAACGGAAAGGCCCUGCUUUUGUGGGUUGCUCGUUUGGCGAACGGGUGAGUAACACGUGUGUAACCCGUCCUUGACUUUGGGAUAACUUCAGGAAACUGGGGCUAAUACCGGAUAGGAGCUCUUGCUGCAUGGGGUGGGUUGGAAAGUUUGGGCUGUUGGGGAUGGACUCGCGGCUUAUCAGCUAGUUGGUGGGGUAGGGGCUUACCAAGGCUUUGAGGGGUAGCCGGCAUGGGCGGGUGAACGGCCACCAUGCGCCUGAGAGACGGACCAGUCUCCUACGGGCGGCAGCAGGCGAGAAUAUUGCAGAAUAGCCGCAAGCGUGAUGCAGCGGCGCCGCGUGCGUAAUGCUGGCCUUCGGGUUGAAAACCGAUUUCGCCUGUGACGUAGCGUGAUUGACGGUAAUUAAUAAGAAAGCAACGGCUAACUACGUG
rnacentral:rRNA from 1 species